rnacentral:misc_RNA from 1 species
AAGUUACCUAUCGCUCGAACUGUUUGAACAACCGAUGGUUUUCGAAGACACUAUCGCAAAUCGCAUACCGAAGUGAUUUCUGGUGCAUUUUUGUUUCUUGUUUGUGCACGUGCAGAACGCAAAUAAAUGCGCCGAGCCUGAGUCAAUGCGAGCGGACAGGAGGACAGCGGAUAGCGGGCGGCCAUGGAUCAAUUCUCGCACGAUCUGACGUUGGCUCUGGACCUGACGCUGAUGGACAGGGCUAGUGGCGGCGUCGGUAGGUGGGGCUCCCGCCGCAGGACACGUUCCACGGGCAAUCUGCCCUGCGCCCCUCAGCCCACGGAGGACUCCUCGAGCAGUCCCACGGACGCGCUAAACCAGGGGCACCAUCACGGGCAUCAUGGCCACCACCACCAUCACCACCACCCAAGUGCCAACGUGGACGGACUGGACACACACAACCUCAAGUUGCCAGCCAGCGACUCUGACGAAAAGGCGGAGGCGAUGCUUCCUCUGCGUCUGCCACUGACCUUGCCUAUACGUAUGGGUGCCCUGGAGUCCGACUCGCUUAACGAGACCACCUUCAGUCCUGCCAGAUUCUACAAGCCCAACUCGCGAAGGAAACGCAAGAUCAAGCGGAUGUCCAUGGAGUUCGAGUUUAGCAAGGAUACACCACACACCUUCACCGAAUCGCCACUGCAGCCCAGCCUGCUAAGUAGCAGCGGUUCUGCUACUGGAACCAUACGCAAGCGAUUGCUGAAAAUUGACGCCACUGGACAUCGCUCGCAUUUGUUCUUCUGCGGCAAACGCAAGCGCUCAAACCGCGAUCGCUACCAUGAGCAGGAUUCGGUUAAGCUGUACGCCCUGCCGCACUCACAAGCAGAUGACCAGCACGUACAGCAACCACAGCACCACCAGCAGAGGAUGCGCCCCCGCAGCUACUCCUCCACAUCGAAGCCACUCAGCGACCGCCUGCUGCCACUGAACAAGGGACUGCUGUCGAAGAUCAACCGAAUGGCUGCCCAAGGACAGCAGGCUAAGCACACCCAAAAGACUGAGACAAAGGACAAGGACUUGAAAUGUCAUCGUUCUGAAGGACCCGAAGGAGUAAGCCUGGAGAUGGAGGAGCUGCCUGAUCAAAAGGACGCGGUCCAGAAGCUACCUUUGCCAAGUGCUGAUUUUACGACCGCCAACUUGAACUCCAUCAGCAUGGACACCAUUGUGCCUGUGACCGAUAUUGAUGCCUUGUUAUUGAGUACGCCACCAGCUGCUCCGCUGCCGCGCAAAAAGGCGCAGGGGCAGGCGUCGGGGCUCAGCAGCAGUAGCUCAUCCAAAACGGACCGUCGCCGCCGCUUCCAAACGUUUCCACAGCCUCAGCUGCAGCUCCAAGCUCAGUCAAUGGAUUGUAGCGAACUUUAUGACUUCUUAAGCUCUAGUUCCCUAAGCUCGUCCACGGAUAGCGAGGCGGAAGUAGGUGGUCAUCGACGGCACGACACCGAUCGCGAGGGCGACGAUGAACUCACCGACUGGCCGGGAAACGAAUUCGGACCCGGAGCCAGAUACGAUCCGAAAAGGAAGCUUACAAAAAAGUCACUACUGCCUCAAAUUCGCUCGGAUGACACAAUUGGAGAAGAUGACACUCUUAUGUCUGGCACCGAAGCGGGAGCGGUGGGUGUGGAACCGCCUUCGAAAUCACCAGUCCAACUUCCAGAAUCACUGCAGGAUCUUUCCCGCUUCCAACCAGUUGGCGUCUCCGAGCCCAUCGAGAUUCAGAAUGCCUGCUCAGAGAUGGAAACAAAUGCAGAUGGCACCAUGCCGGCUUCUCGCCAAAUCGAGAGUGAGAUGUCCGGCGAAACUUCUAAUCCGUUUCUUUCCUCGUCGCCGCCUGGACACGUCCAGGGACAGGAAGUACGUGAGAUACGCGCAGGGUGUCGCCGCAUCAAUGGCGAGCGUCCAGGAUUCAGCAUCAAGAUGAGCGUCAAUGAGCGCAUCGCCCGAUUUCUGCAGGAUUCGCAACAGACACAGAUCCGUCUGCCGGAUAUAGAGCUCUAUGAGACAGAUAGCAUGAGUAAUCUGGCCGCGCUCUAUUCACUUACCAUGGUGGUAGAGCACGGAUGCACAGUGCUCACCAAAACCGGGAACACUACGCAGACGGUGAGCGUGGAUCAUCUUCAACAAGGUCUGCAGCCGCGUCCAGGUCUUUUUGGCGAUUUUAAGCGGCGCUGCUACGGUGAGGAGGGAGAGGAGGAAGAGGAGCAGCAGCAGCAGCUUCAGCAAGAUCCCGGCCAGAUUUAGCCCCAGAAAGCAACACUGUAAUCCAAACGAGACCAAUCCCUAGCAAAUGCAGCCAUCAGAACUCGAGCUUGUUUUUGUGAAAUCUGUUCCAUGUACAUAAGUUGCAUCGGUCCGUGUAUAUACUAACUGACUUCGUUUGGGAAUGGCGCCAGCAAGACGGAAACCGGAUCGUAGAUCCCGUCGGUUUGGGCACGCGCUUGGAAGCGAGCGAGAUGACACGUUUUAGAGAAAGAGAGAGAGGACCGACCGAAAGGCGUCGGCAGCCGUUCCACUGUACAAAAUAUUUAAUGUAAGACCUUCAGCGAAUAUGAAUAUAAGAAAUAUAUAUGUGUGGUCAUAUCCGGA